rnacentral:lncRNA from 1 species
UGUGGCUUUACGCAGCACUGAACGCCAGUUUCUGCACCAUAUGAUUGGGUAACGAUGCAAACUUUGAGUUACGUGCGCAAAUGUACGUGCGCACAAGGCCAUCUUCUCCUAUAAAUCCGACCCCCGGCC